UUCUCCACAUGUGAUGUUCUUGAUGUGAGAUUCAGAGACAGACUGAAGCUGGAUCAUCAGACUGGAUCUCUGAUCAUCACAAACACCAGAAACACAGACUCUGAAGUGUAUGACGUAACCAUCAGAAGUAGGAAAGAGACCAUGUACAGAUUCAGUGUCUCUGUUACCGUCUCUGCUGUUUUUUAGGUAAAAGGAUCCUGGAGAACCUACAGAUGAAGAAGUGGCAUCUACUUCGACAGAAAUGAAUCGGAGUAGUGGCAAUUUAGGGAAUGAGUUGGAUUCACCUUCAGCAGUUAUGGAUACCAAGGUAAGACCAAUGCAGGACUACUUAGUAUCAUUUUAUAGAAAGAAAUGGUAUCUUUUUUUAACAAAUCUUUU